rnacentral:rRNA from 1 species
AUGCUACCACUACCCGUCCACCUGUCCUUCAUGCGCGGCCACUACUGGGCGGGCAUGAAGGCCAACUGGAUCGUCCUCAUCCACCAAUCCGCAGACGCAAAUGUGUUGGCCUUCAUGAUUCCAGGACCUGGAAUCAUACCAGCCGAUGGUGAGUACCAUAUAACUGGAAUUAACCCAUGCAAGUCGAAGAAGGAUUGGCCGGUGCUGCCGGCUGGCGUCAAGUUCGAUCCCACGGAUCAGGAGCUGAUCGAGCACCUUGAGGCCAAAGUGAGUGCUGACAGCGCGAGAUCUCACCCUCUCAUCGAUUUGUUCAUACCAACCAUCGACAACGAGCACGGCAUAUGCUACACCCAUCCUGAGAAACUUCCAGGUAUCACACUGAGUGGCCUAAGCAAGCAUUUUUUCCAGCGCAAUUCCAGGGCGUUCAAAAGGGGCACGUGGACGUGUUGCAAGAUACAGUCGAAGUACAGCAUGCACGCGAUGUGGCACAACAGCGGCAAUACCUUGCCGGUGAUGGUCAACGGCCGGCAGACGGGCAGCAAAAAGGUUCUGGUGCUGCACACCAACAAGAACUUCGACGAGCAGAGACCAACUGGGUGA